rnacentral:rRNA from 1 species
GAUGAACGCUGGCGGCGUGCUUAACACAUGCAAGUCGAACGAUGAAAGCGGGAGCUUGCUCCUGCUGGAUUAGUGGCGAACGGGUGAAUAACACGUGAGCAAUCUGCCCCGAACUCUGGGAUAAGCGUUGGAAACGACGUCUAAUACCGGAUACGACGCGCGAAGGCAUCUUCUGCGCGUGGAAAGAACUUCGGUUCGGGAUGAGCUCGCGGCCUAUCAGCUAGUUGGUGAGGUAACGGCCCACCAAGGCGACGACGGGUAGCCGGCCUGAGAGGGUGACCGGCCACACUGGGACUGAGACACGGCCCAGACUCCUACGGGAGGCAGCAGUGGGGAAUAUUGCACAAUGGCGCAAGCCUGAUGCAGCAACGCCGCGUGAGGGACGACGGCCUUCGGGUUGUAAACCUCUUUUAGUAGGGAAGAAGCGAAAGUGACGGUACCUGCAGAAAAAGCACCGGCUAACUACGUGCCAGCCGCCGCCGUAAAAC